CGACGAGGAAACAUCAGCACAAAGCAACUCAUAGUGUUGCAUUUCCCUUCCAAAGGCAAUGUCGGCAAUGAAAAAGACAAAACAGUUGGUGAAUCUUUAUUCAACAGCUCAUAGGAGCUGCGAUACGGUGGUUUCCAAACCCAAAUACCCACAGAACAAUACUAAACAGAAGGUUAAAACACCAGCAAGCUUGCAAAAAACACACCCAACCAAAAUAGAAUAUUGAAUGGCAGAACAACCAAAUGGUCACUCAAAACAGAGCACAACACCGAAAGUUAGAAAAUCUAAAAACAGGUCACCAGAGGUCUUGUGGCUGAUAAGGAUGGACUCCUCUCAUGAAGGCAACGUUGGAGGAGAAGAUCGGAACCAGAAAAAGUGAAGCACGGUCCUCCACGCACUAGCGUGAGAGGGAGAGGCUAAAAACAAAGAAUUGCGCAUCAAGAAAAAAAAAAUUCCAAGGCUAGGAAUCAUAAACAAUAACCCCC
rnacentral:misc_RNA from 1 species